rnacentral:sRNA from 1 species
UAUUCUGUCCCACGGGGAAGGAUGAGAAGCUUCGAAUAAGGUUCGACUCGAGCGAAGCGAGAGAACGUUGCCGCAGGCAACGGCCCGAAGGGCGAAG